rnacentral:rRNA from 1 species
GACGAACGCUGGCGGCGUGCUUAACACAUGCAAGUCGAACGGAAAGGCCCUGCUUUUGUGGGGUGCUCGAGUGGCGAACGGGUGAGUAACACGUGAGUAACCUGCCCUUGACUUUGGGAUAACUUCAGGAAACUGGGGCUAAUACCGGAUAGGAGCUCUUGCUGCAUGGUGGGGGUUGGAAAGUUUCGGCGGUUGGGGCUGGACUCGCGGCUUACCAGCUUGUUGGUGGGGUAGUGGCUUACCAAGGCUUUGACGGGUAGCCGGCCUGGGAGGGUGACCGGCCACAUGGGGACUGAGAUACGGCGCAGACUCCUACGGGAGGCAGCAGUGGGGAAUAUUGCACAAUGGGCGGAAGCCUGAUGCAGCAACGCCGCGUGCGGGAUGACGGCCUUCGGGUUGUAAACCGCUUUCGCCUGUGACGAAGCGUGAGUGACGGUAAUGGGUAAAGAAGCACCGGCUAACUACGUG